ACCAAAAAACCGAGUCAAACCGAACCGAAAAAUCCGAACCGAGCAGAAUAAUGGUUAAUAUGGUUUGAUUUGGUUUAAAAUUUAUAUAAAUUGCGGUUUACGGUUUCGGUUUGGUUUUAGGGUUCGGUUACCGAACCGAACCGAAAAAACCGAAAUAAUAAAAGAGGUUAUUUUUGUCAUUUCCAUAGAAUGCUAUAUAUACCUUAAUUUAACCUAGAAACCCUAAUUUCCCCCUUUUCUUUCUUCUUCACUCAUCCGCCUCACUCCCUCUCACCCACAUACAGCCCCUUUCUUUCCCCUUUCUCUAUUUUCCUUUGCCUUCUUCUCCACUAUUUCUUCUCUAUCAUUCAUAAACUCUUAAAUUUAUAUGCCUUCAAAGAUAAACAUGAAUUUAUAAGGUUUAUGAAGUUUAUUAAAGAAAUCAAGAUAUUUUCUAGAGAAAAAUAAGAAUCAACAAAGUCCAUUUAGUUUGUUAUUGAUGUACUGAAGAAAUAAAAUAUGAAAAAAUCAAAUUAUGUAAUGUGAAUAGACCAAUUUUAUGUAUAUAUAUCUCUAUGUUGAUAUUA